rnacentral:rRNA from 1 species
CGGCCGCGUCGACGCCUGAUCCAGCCAUGCCGCGUGUGUGAAGAAGGUCUUCGGAUUGUAAAGCACUUUAAGUUGGGAGGAAGGGCAGUAAGUUAAUACCUUGCUGUUUUGACGUUACCAACAGAAUCAGCAUCGGCUAACUCCGUGCCAGCAGCCGCGGUAAGACGGAGGAUGCAAGCGUUAUCCGGAAUGAUUGGGCGUAAAGCGUCCGCAGGUGGCGUCGACGCGGCCG